AAGGGUACUUUGUGAGAAAGACAGGUCUACAAAGGAGGCUCCAGGUGCAGGAAAUCUUGAAAGAAGAAUUCUAGAAGUUAACAGAAAAAAGGGUCAAAGUUGUUAAACCUGGUUCUAAGACUUCAUUUCCCAAUACUGAAAUUCGUGGAACCUAUGCCCCUCCUUUUCAUGUUGAGCUAUACCGGAACGACCCGCACCGAUUCAAGA